rnacentral:rRNA from 1 species
GACGAACGCUGGCGGCGUGCUUAACACAUGCAAGUCGAACGAAGAGCGAUGGAAGCUUGCUUCUAUCAAUCUUAGUGGCGAACGGGUGAGUAACGCGUAAUCAACCUGCCCUUCAGAGGGGGACAACAGUUGGAAACGACUGCUAAUACCGCAUACGAUCUAAUCUCGGCAUCGAGGAUAGAUGAAAGGUGGCCUCUACAUGUAAGCUAUCACUGAAGGAGGGGAUUGCGUCUGAUUAGCUAGUUGGAGGGGUAACGGCCCACCAAGGCGAUGAUCAGUAGCCGGUCUGAGAGGAUGAACGGCCACAGUGGGACUGAGACACGGCCCAGACUCCUACGGGAGGCAGCAGUGGGGAAUCUUCCGCAAUGGACGAAAGUCUGACGGAGCAACGCCGCGUGAGCGAUGACGGCCUUCGGGUUGUAAAGCUCUGUUAAUCGGGACGAAAGGACUUCUUGCGAAUAGGGAGAAGGAUUGACGGUACCGGAAGAGAAAGCCACGGCUAACUACGUG